GGAGCCUGCGGCUUAAUGUGACUCAACACGGGGAUACUCACCAGGUCCAGACACUAUAAGGAUUUGACAGAUUGAGAGCUCUUUCUUGAUUUUUGUGGGUGGUGGUGCAUGGCCGUUCCUAGUUUGGUGGAGUGAUUUUGUCUUGCUUUAUUUGCCGAUUACCGAACGAGAACCUUAAACCUACUAAAUAGUGCUGCUAAGCAUUUGCUGGUAUAGGACACUUUCCUUAGAGAGAACAAUCGCAUUUUCCAAGUCCAAUGGAAGUUUUUAAGGCAAUUAACAGGUCUUGUGAUGGCCCUUAGACCUUCUGGGGCCGCACGCGCCGCUAC
rnacentral:ncRNA from 1 species